rnacentral:rRNA from 1 species
CAGUCGACGCUUUGUGGUUAAACUGAUUUGAAGAGCUUGCUCAGAUUUGACGAUGGACAUUGGGUUGGGGGCGAACGGGUGAGUAACACGUGGGAAACCUACCUCUUAUCAGGGGAUAACAUUUGGAAACAGAUGCUAAUACCGUAUAACACUGACAACCGCAUGGUUGUUAUUUAAAAAAUGGUUCUGCUAUCACUAAGAGAUGGUCCCGCGGUGCAUUAGCUAGUUGGUAAGGUAAUGGCUUACCAAGGCGAUGAUGCAUAGCCAAGUUGAAAGACUGAUCGGCCACAAUGGGACUGAAACACGGCCCAUACUCCUACGGGAGGCAGCAGUAGGGAAUCUUCCACAAUGGGCGAAAGCCUGAUGGAGCAACGCCGCGUGUGUGAUGAAGGGUUUCGGCUCGUAAAACACUGUUGUAAGAGAAAAAUGACAUUGAGAUUAACUGUUCAAUGUGUGACGGUAUCUUACCAGAAAGGAACGGCUAAAUACGUGCCAGCAGCCGCGGUAAUACGUAUGUUCCAAGCGUUAUCCGGAUUUAUUGGGCGUAAAGCGAGCGCAGACGGUUAUUUAAUUCUGAGGUGAAAGCCCUCAGCUCAACUGAGGAAUUGCUUUGGAAACUGGAUGACUUGAGUGCAGUAAAGGAUAGUGGAACUCCAUGUGUAGCGGUGAAAUGCGUAGAUAUAUGGAAGAACACCAGUGGCGAAGGCGGCGUUCUGGACUGUAACUGACGUUGAGGCUCGAAAGUGUGGGUAGCAAACAGGAUUAGAUACCCUGGUAGUCCACACCGUAAACGAUGAGUGCUAGGUGUUUGAGGGUCUUCCGCCCUUAAGUGCCGCAGCUAACGCAUUAAGCAUCUCCGCCGUGGGAGAGUACGACCCGCAAGGGUUGAAACUCAACGUAUUUGGACGGGGACCCGNACAAUCGGAU